rnacentral:rRNA from 1 species
UACGUAGGGUGCAAGCGUUGUCCGGAAUUAUUGGGCGUAAAGAGCUCGUAGGCGGUCCGUCGCGUCGAAUGUGAAAACCCGGGGCUCAACCCCGGGCCUGCAUUCGAUACGGGCGGACUAGAGUUCGGUAGGGGAGACUGGAAUUCCUGGUGUAGCGGUGAAAUGCGCAGAUAUCAGGAGGAACACCGGUGGCGAAGGCGGGUCUCUGGGCCGAUACUGACGCUGAGGAGCGAAAGCGUGGGGAGCAAACAGG